rnacentral:rRNA from 1 species
AAUGAACGCUGGCGGCGUGCUUAACACAUGCAAGUCGAACGAGGCGGAGGGGGGGCAACUCCUUCCAGCCGAGUGGCGGACGGGUGAGUAACACGUGGGUAACCUGCCCGGAAGUGGGGAAUACCUCGGGGAAACUCGAGCUAAUACCGCAUGACAUCUUCGGGACGAAAGUCCUGACGAUCAAGGCGGGGUCGCAAGAUCUCGCGCUACCGGAUGGGCCCGCGCCCGAUUAGCUAGUUGGUGAGGUAACGGCUCACCAAGGCUUCGAUCGGUAACCGGCCUGAGAGGGCGAUCGGUCACACCGGAACUGAGACACGGUCCGGACUCCUACGGGAGGCAGCAGUGGGGAAUCUUGCGCAAUGGGCGAAAGCCUGACGCAGCAACGCCGCGUGGAGGAUGAAGGCCC